rnacentral:misc_RNA from 1 species
UUUCCGUAGGUGAACCUGCGGAAGGAUCAUUAAUGUAACCGUACCGGUCCUCUGCCGUCAAACGCAGCGGAUGGGAAUGGGAGAUAUCAUACACCCCUACGUUUAUUUACUUUUGUUGCUUUGGCGGGCCGUCCUUUUAGGCGUCGGCCCCGGCUGAUCGCGCCCGCCAGAGGACCCAAACUCUUUUAUCAGUGAUGUCUGAGUACUAUAUAAUAGUUAAAACUUUCAACAACGGAUCUCUUGGCUCUC